CCUACGGGGGGCUGCAGUGGGGAAUAUUGGACAAUGGGCGAAAGCCUGAUCCAGCCAUGCCGCGUGUGUGAAGAAGGCCUUCGGGUUGUAAAGCACUUUCAGUGGGGAAGAAAGCCUUGGGGCUAAUACCCUCGAGGAAGGACAUCACCCACAGAAGAAGCACCGGCUAACUCCGUGCCAGCAGCCGCGGUAAUACGGAGGGUGCGAGCGUUAAUCGGAAUUACUGGGCGUAAAGCGCGCGUAGGCGGUCUGAUAAGCCGGUUGUGAAAGCCCCGGGCUCAACCUGGGAACGGCAUCCGGAACUGUCAGGCUAGAGUGCAGGAGAGGAAGGUGGAAUUCCCGGUGUAGCAGUGAAAUGCGUAGAGAUCGGGAGGAAUACCAGUGGCGAAGGCGGCCUUCUGGACUGACACUGACGCUGAGGUGCGAAAGCGUGGGUAGCAAACAGGAUUAGAUACCCCGGUAGUC
rnacentral:rRNA from 1 species